rnacentral:rRNA from 1 species
AGAGUUUGAUCCUGGCUCAGAACGAACGCUGGCGGCGUGCUUAACACAUGCAAGUCGAACGCGAAAGAGUUCUUCGGAACUUGAGUAGAGUGGCGCACGGGUGAGUAACGCGUAAGUAAUCUACCCUGAUAUCUGGGAUAACCCACCGAAAGGUGUGCUAAUACCGGAUACGCUGAUUUAUCAGGAAAGGUGGCCUCUUCAUGAAAGCUACUGUAUCAGGAGGAGCUUGCGUACCAUUAGCUAGUUGGUAGGGUAAUGGCCUACCAAGGCAACGAUGGUUAGCGGGUCUGAGAGGAUGAUCCGCCACACUGGAACUGGAACACGGACCAGACUCCUACGGGAGGCAGCAGUGAGGAAUAUUGCGCAAUGGGGGAAACCCUGACGCAGCGACGCCGCGUGGAUGAUGAAGGCCUUCGGGUCGUAAAAUCCUGUCAGAUGGAAAGAAAUGCAUAUGUAUUAAUACUACGUAUGUUUGACGGUACCAUCAAAGGAAGCACCGGCUAACUCCGUGCCAGCAGCCGCGGUAAUACGGAGGGUGCAAGCGUUGUUCGGAAUUACUGGGCGUAAAGCGCGCGUAGGCGGUUUGUUAAGUCAGAUGUGAAAGUCCACGGCUCAACCGUGGAAGUGCAUUUGAAACUGGCAGACUUGAGUACUGGAGGGGGUGGUGGAAUUCCCGGUGUAGAGGUGAAAUUCGUAGAUAUCGGGAGGAAUACCGGUGGCGAAGGCGACCACCUGGCCAGAUACUGACGCUGAGGUGCGAAAGCGUGGGGAGCAAACAGGAUUAGAUACCCUGGUAGUCCACGCCGUAAACGAUGUCAACUAGGUGUUGGGGAGGUUAAUCUUCUCAUUGCCGCAGCUAACGCAUUAAGUUGACCGCCUGGGGAGUACGGUCGCAAGAUUAAAACUCAAAGGAAUUGACGG